CUUUACUAUAACUUGGCACUGAAAGUAUAUUUGUAAGUGUGUAGGGUAGGAGGGAGCCGCAAGGCAACGAUGAAACACCUCUCUUUACUUAUGUACAAUCUAACGCCCACGCUGAAUAAAAAUCCAGCGGGCGGACACUGUCUGGCGGGUAGUUUAACUGGGGAGGUUUUCUCCAAAAUCGUAACGGAGAAGUGCAAAGGUUGACUCAGUACGGAUGGAAAUCGUACGUAGAGCGCAAGCGUAAAAUAGUCAGCUUAACUGUGAGACUUACAAGUCGAGCAGAUACGAAAGUAGGCGCUAGUGAUCUUCUGCUAGGUCGUGGGACCGGCAGGGCUUAUCGGAUAAAAGCUA
rnacentral:rRNA from 1 species